rnacentral:rRNA from 1 species
GGUUAAGCGACUAAGCGUACACGGUGGAUGCCCUGGCAGUCAGAGGCGAUGAAGGACGUGCUAAUCUGCGAUAAGCGUCGGUAAGGUGAUAUGAACCGUUAUAACCGGCGAUUUCCGAAUGGGGAAACCCAGUGUGUUUCGACACACUAUCAUUAACUGAAUCCAUAGGUUAAUGAGGCGAACCGGGGGAACUGAAACAUCUAAGUACCCCGAGGAAAAGAAAUCAACCGAGAUUCCCCCAGUAGCGGCGAGCGAACGGGGAGCAGCCCAGAGCCUGAAUCAGUGUGUGUGUUAGUGGAAGCGUCUGGAAAGGCGCGCGAUACAGGGUGACAGCCCCGUACACAAAAAUGCACAUGCUGUGAGCUCGAUGAGUAGGGCGGGACACGUGGUAUCCUGUCUGAAUAUGGGGGGACCAUCCUCCAAGGCUAAAUACUCCUGACUGACCGAUAGUGAACCAGUACCGUGAGGGAAAGGCGAAAAGAACCCCGGCGAGGGGAGUGAAAAAGAACCUGAAACCGUGUACGUACAAGCAGUGGGAGCACGCUUAGGCGUGUGACUGCGUACCUUUUGUAUAAUGGGUCAGCGACUUAUAUUCUGUAGCAAGGUUAACCGAAUAGGGGAGCCGAAGGGAAACCGAGUCUUAACUGGGCGUUAAGUUGCAGGGUAUAGACCCGAAACCCGGUGAUCUAGCCAUGGGCAGGUUGAAGGUUGGGUAACACUAACUGGAGGACCGAACCGACUAAUGUUGAAAAAUUAGCGGAUGACUUGUGGCUGGGGGUGAAAGGCCAAUCAAACCGGGAGAUAGCUGGUUCUCCCCGAAAGCUAUUUAGGUAGCGCCUCGUGAAUUCAUCUCCGGGGGUAGAGCACUGUUUCGGCAAGGGGGUCAUCCCGACUUACCAACCCGAUGCAAACUGCGAAUACCGGAGAAUGUUAUCACGGGAGACACACGGCGGGUGCUAACGUCCGUCGUGAAGAGGGAAACAACCCAGACCGCCAGCUAAGGUCCCAAAGUCAUGGUUAAGUGGGAAACGAUGUGGGAAGGCCCAGACAGCCAGGAUGUUGGCUUAGAAGCAGCCAUCAUUUAAAGAAAGCGUAAUAGCUCACUGGUCGAGUCGGCCUGCGCGGAAGAUGUAACGGGGCUAAACCAUGCACCGAAGCUGCGGCAGCGACGCUGAUGCGUUGUUGGGUAGGGGAGCGUUCUGUAAGCCUGCGAAGGUGUGCUGUGAGGCAUGCUGGAGGUAUCAGAAGUGCGAAUGCUGACAUAAGUAACGAUAAAGCGGGUGAAAAGCCCGCUCGCCGGAAGACCAAGGGUUCCUGUCCAACGUUAAUCGGGGCAGGGUGAGUCGACCCCUAAGGCGAGGCCGAAAGGCGUAGUCGAUGGGAAACAGGUUAAUAUUCCUGUACUUGGUGUUACUGCGAAGGGGGGACGGAGAAGGCUAUGUUGGCCGGGCGACGGUUGUCCCGGUUUAAGCGUGUAGGCUGGUUUUCCAGGCAAAUCCGGAAAAUCAAGGCUGAGGCGUGAUGACGAGGCACUACGGUGCUGAAGCAACAAAUGCCCUGCUUCCAGGAAAAGCCUCUAAGCAUCAGGUAACAUCAAAUCGUACCCCAAACCGACACAGGUGGUCAGGUAGAGAAUACCAAGGCGCUUGAGAGAACUCGGGUGAAGGAACUAGGCAAAAUGGUGCCGUAACUUCGGGAGAAGGCACGCUGAUAUGUAGGUGAAGUCCCUUGCGGAUGGAGCUGAAAUCAGUCGAAGAUACCAGCUGGCUGCAACUGUUUAUUAAAAACACAGCACUGUGCAAACACGAAAGUGGACGUAUACGGUGUGACGCCUGCCCGGUGCCGGAAGGUUAAUUGAUGGGGUUAGCCGCAAGGCGAAGCUCUUGAUCGAAGCCCCGGUAAACGGCGGCCGUAACUAUAACGGUCCUAAGGUAGCGAAAUUCCUUGUCGGGUAAGUUCCGACCUGCACGAAUGGCGUAAUGAUGGCCAGGCUGUCUCCACCCGAGACUCAGUGAAAUUGAACUCGCUGUGAAGAUGCAGUGUACCCGCGGCAAGACGGAAAGACCCCGUGAACCUUUACUAUAGCUUGACACUGAACAUUGAGCCUUGAUGUGUAGGAUAGGUGGGAGGCUUAGAAGUGUGGACGCCAGUCUGCAUGGAGCCGACCUUGAAAUACCACCCUUUAAUGUUUGAUGUUCUAACGUUGACCCGUAAUCCGGGUUGCGGACAGUGUCUGGUGGGUAGUUUGACUGGGGCGGUCUCCUCCUAAAGAGUAACGGAGGAGCACGAAGGUUGGCUAAUCCUGGUCGGACAUCAGGAGGUUAGUGCAAUGGCAUAAGCCAGCUUGACUGCGAGCGUGACGGCGCGAGCAGGUGCGAAAGCAGGUCAUAGUGAUCCGGUGGUUCUGAAUGGAAGGGCCAUCGCUCAACGGAUAAAAGGUACUCCGGGGAUAACAGGCUGAUACCGCCCAAGAGUUCAUAUCGACGGCGGUGUUUGGCACCUCGAUGUCGGCUCAUCACAUCCUGGGGCUGAAGUAGGUCCCAAGGGUAUGGCUGUUCGCCAUUUAAAGUGGUACGCGAGCUGGGUUUAGAACGUCGUGAGACAGUUCGGUCCCUAUCUGCCGUGGGCGCUGGAGAACUGAGGGGGGCUGCUCCUAGUACGAGAGGACCGGAGUGGACGCAUCACUGGUGUUCGGGUUGUCAUGCCAAUGGCACUGCCCGGUAGCUAAAUGCGGAAGAGAUAAGUGCUGAAAGCAUCUAAGCACGAAACUUGCCCCGAGAUGAGUUCUCCCUGACCCUUUAAGGGUCCUGAAGGAACGUUGAAGACGACGACGUUGAUAGGCCGGGUGUGUAAGCGCAGCGAUGCGUUGAGCUAACCGGUACUAAUGAACCGUGAGGCUUAACCUU